UACGAAGGUGGCAAGCGUUGUUCGGAUUCACUGGGCGUACAGGGUGUGUAGGCGGUUUGGUAAGCCUUCUGUUAAAGCUUCGGGCCCAACCCGGAAAGCGCAGAGGGUACUGCCAGGCUAGAGGACGGGAGAGGAGCGCGGAAUUCCCGGUGUAGCGGUGAAAUGCGUAGAUAUCUGGAGGAAUACCGGUGGCGAAGGCGGCAUCCUGGACCGACAUUGACGCUGAGGAGCGAAAGCUAGGGGAGCAAACGGG
rnacentral:rRNA from 1 species